GCAGGUGUAGUACAACGGUUAGUAUGCGACCUUGCCAAGGUUGAGAUGGCGGUUCGAUUCCGCUCACUUGCUCCA
rnacentral:tRNA from 2 species